UUGCCAAGCAAGCAACGUCUGUGAGUGAAGUCAGGACAGGGAAAAACUGUUGACUCGGUCAAAACUGCAGCACAUUCUUUGAAGGAAAAUUCACAGAUGAACUCUUAAGUACAUUAUUAUGAGUUCCUUGAACUCUAAGUUUCGACGACUAAGCCAAUUUGGUAGAUUUGCGAGAGGGCGUGGUUCCAUUGUGCCACCGUAUACUGCAACAGAAAACUUCAUGACGAAAGCUGGACACUUGGCUCUACCGACCACCGACAUCUUGUCAGCCUCUGUGAAAAUGACUGGGAUAGCAGCGGUGCGCGCGGUGAUCCGAGACGGGGAACAAUGAGGCGGAGAACAACCCAGCUAGAGCGGGGAGCUCCUGGUGAGUUAUAGCGAGGCUUCAGGCGGUGUUGAGCGGACUGUUUCGCUGGGGUUGCAGAAAGAGUGACUGGUACUGUCUCUCAAUGAGCCCUUCAGCGGACAGGUGCUCCAAGCAACUGUGAGACCAGAUGUUUGAUGAUGUCAUUGGAUUUGUGGUUUGUGGACGUACAGUGGAGUCAUCGCUGGAGUCAUCGCCGG